AGAGUUUGAUCCUGGCUCAGGAUGAACGCUGGCGGCGUGCCUAACACAUGCAAGUCGAGCGAUCUUCUUCGGAAGAGAGCGGCGGACGGGUGAGUAACGCGUGGGUAACCUGCCUCAUACACAUGGAUAACAUACCGAAAGGUAUGCUAAUACAAGAUGAUAUAAGAGAUUCGCAUGGAUUUCUUAUCAAAGCUCCGGCGGUAUGAGAUGGACCCGCGUCUGAUUAGCUAGUUGGUAAGGUAACGGUUUACCAAGGCGACGAUCAGUAGCCGACCUGAGAGGGUGAUCGGCCACAUUGGAACUGAGACACGGUCCAAACUCCUACGGGAGGCAGCAGUGGGGAAUAUUGCACAAUGGGCGAAAGCCUGAUGCAGCAACGCCGCGUGAGCGAUGAAGGCCUUCGGGUCGUAAAGCUCUGUCCUCAAGGAAGAUAAUGACGGUACUUGAGGAGGAAGCCCCGGCUAACUACGUGCCAGCAGCCGCGGUAAUACGUAGGGGGCUAGCGUUAUCCGGAUUUACUGGGCGCAAAGGGUGCGUAGGUGGUUUCUUAAGUCAGGAGUGAAAGGCUACGGCUCAACCGUAGUAAGCUCUUGAAACUGGGAAACUUGAGUGCAGGAGAGGAAAGUGGAAUUCCUAGUGUAGCGGUGAAAUGCGUAGAUAUUAGGAGGAACACCAGUAGCGAAGGCGGCUUUCUGGACUGUAACUGACACUGAGGCACGAAAGCGUGGGGAGCAAACAGGAUUAGAUACCCUGGUAGUCCACGCCGUAAACGAUGAGUACUUGGUGUGGGGGUUUCAACACCUCCGUGCCGCCGCUAACGCAUUAAGUAUUCCGCCUGGGGAGUACGGUCGCAAGAUUAAAACUCAAAGGAAUUGACGG
rnacentral:rRNA from 1 species